ACCUUCUUGUAUAAGCACUGUGCUAAAAUUAUAGAAACUAGGACUGUGUCUUGGUUUUUGUAAUAAUGCUAGCAGAGUACACACAAGAAGAAGAAAAACUGCACUAGAU
rnacentral:snoRNA from 1 species